rnacentral:rRNA from 1 species
CCCUUAGAUGUCCUGGGCCGCACGCGCGUUACACUGAUGCAUUCAACGAGCCUAUCCUUGACCGACAGGUCCGGGUAAUCUUUGAAUCUGCAUCGUGACGGGGAUAGAUUAUUGCAAUUAUUAAUCUUCAACGAGGAAUGCCUAGUAGGCGCAAGUCAUCAGCUUGCGUCGAUUACGUCCCUGCCCUUUGUACACACCGCCCGUCGCUCCUACCGAUUGGGUGUGCUGGUGAAAUGUUCGGAUCGGCCGUUUGUCGCGGUUUCCGCGGCUCGUGGCUGAGAAGUUCAUUAAACCCUCCCACCUAGAGGAAGGAGAAGUCGUAACA